rnacentral:rRNA from 1 species
CGCGUAGGCGGGCUGUUAAGUGCUUUGUGAAAUCCCCCGGCUUAACCGGGGAAUCGCUGGGCAUACUGGCAGUCUUGAGGCAAGUAUAGGUGCGUGGAACUCUUGGUGGAGCGGUGAAAUGCGUAGAUAUCAAGAGGAACGCCGGUGGUGAAAACGAUGCACUGGGCUUGUCCUGACGCUGAGGCGCGAAAGCCAGGGGAGCAAACGGGAUUAGAUACCCCGGUAGUCCUGGCCGUAAACGAUGUCCACUAGGUUGGGGUUCUUUUGACGGAGUCCCGGCCGCAACAAAAGCGUUAAGUGGACCGCCUGGGGAGUACGGUCGCAAGGGCUAAA